rnacentral:miRNA from 2 species
AAGUGCCGCCAUGUUUUGAGUGU